GUAUGGUUGCAAAGCUGAAACUUAAAGGA
rnacentral:ncRNA from 6 species